rnacentral:rRNA from 1 species
GAUCAUGGCUCAGGACGAACGCUGGCGGCGUGCCUAAUACAUGCAAGUAGAACGCUGAAGAGAGGAGCUUGCUCUUCCUGGAUGAGUUGCGAACGGGUGAGUAACGCGUAGGUAACCUGCCUUGUAGCGGGGGAUAACUAUUGGAAACGAUAGCUAAUACCGCAUAACAAUGAAUGACUCAUGUCAUUUAUUUGAAAGGGGCAAUUGCUCCACUACAAGAUGG